GAAUGUAUUGUUAAAUACGCUUUAUAGUAUACAUACACCACCCAUUUUCUUUUACUGAACUAAUUAAUAAUAAUAUUAUAAAAUCUUUAUAGUCUGUUUUCUCAAAAAAAAAAAAAACUUUAAUAAUAAUAAUUUACUUUAAUAAUAACUGAAUUAGAAUUAGCCUAUAUCAUUAGAAAAUAAACUCUCUAUUUUCAUUAAGAGUUAAAAAGAAAAAAAAAAUCACAUUUCAGGGUCAACAUCCACGGGAUACCUUACCAUUCCACAAAAGGCUCUUUAUCUUUAGAUAAUGUUCUUCACACUAAGAAAAAAUGGUUCUUCUAUGGACUUACUGUGAAAACCCAGUUUUGCAAACUUUUUUUUAUUUAUUAUUUUUUAAGAGAGAGCCAUUUAAAAUGCUCCUAGCCUACUGAAUUUUGUUUAUUAAUUAUGGGCUUGACAUAAUUAAACAAAAGGCAAAACAAAAACUAAUACAUGUGAUUAUAUAGAAUUUUUGUUUCAUAUUUAACCAGUGGACAUGAACCAUUUUAUCUGAUCACUAGAGGGAGAGUCGAACUGCUUCUUCAAUCUCUGUCCUAAAAACUACAACAUCUUUGUAGUUUUAGUCUUGUUUAGUACAGGUUUUUUGGAACAUCAAUUUUUAACAUACGAUUUACUUGCAGAUUUAUACGACACUUGUUAAUAAUCACUGAUCUGAAUGCACCUUUGUAUUUCUUUUAUUUUUUCCAACAGUUAUCACAAAACAUAGCUCUGUAUGAUUAUGUAAAUCUCCUGUUGCAUAUUUAAACAGCAGGCAUGAGUCACUUUAUACAUUCAUCUGAUCACUAGAGGAGUGAAGAAUCACUUCAGUUCAUUCAAACUGUGCUGUGAAACAAACCAUGAUCUCUUCAUCUUUAGUGUUGCUUCUGGCAGUGAUAUCCUGUAUUGAUUCAAAUGAACUCACUCAGCCUGAGUCUCUGACUGUCCGUCCUGAUGCCACUCUCACUAUCAACUGUAAAGUCUCCUAUUCAGUUACAAGCUACGUUACA
ensembl:lncRNA